rnacentral:rRNA from 1 species
AUUGAACGCUGGCGGCAUGCCUUACACAUGCAAGUCGAACGGCAGCACGGGAGCAAUCCUGGUGGCGAGUGGCGAACGGGUGAGUAAAGUAUCGGAACGUGCCCAGUCGUGGGGGAUAACGUAGCGAAAGUUACGCUAAUACCGCAUACGAUCUAUGGAUGAAAGCGGGGGAUCGCAAGACCUCGCGCGAUUGGAGCGGCCGAUAUCAGAUUAGGUAGUUGGUGGGGUAAAGGCUCACCAAGCCGACGAUCUGUAGCUGGUCUGAGAGGACGACCAGCCAAACUGGGACUGAGACACGGCCCAGACUCCUACGGGAGGCAGCAGUGGGGAAUUUUGGACAGUGGGCGAAAGCCUGAUCCAGCCAUGCCGCGUGCAGGAUGAAGGCCUUCGGGUUGUAAACUGCUUUUGUACGGAACGAAAAGGUUUGGCCUAAUAAGCUGAGCUCAUGACGGUACCGUAAGAAUAAGCACCGGCUAACUACGUGCCAGCAGCCGCUGUAA